rnacentral:rRNA from 1 species
UGAGGAAUAUUGGUCAAUGGGCGGAAGCCUGAACCAGCCAAGUAGCGUGCAGGACGACGGCCCUAUGGGUUGUAAACUGCUUUUAUGCGGGGAUAAAGUGGGCCACGUGUGGCCUUUUGCAGGUACCGCAUGAAUAAGGACCGGCUAAUUCCGUGCCAGCAGCCGCGGUAAUACGGAAGGUCCGGGCGUUAUCCGGAUUUAUUGGGUUUAAAGGGAGCGUAGGCUGGAGAUUAAGCGUGUUGUGAAAUGCCGCGGCUCAACCGUGGCACUGCAGCGCGAACUGGUUUCCUUGAGUGCGCUGAAGGUGGGCGGAAUUUGUGGUGUAGCGGUGAAAUGCUUAGAUAUCACGAAGAACUCCGAUUGCGAAGGCAGCUCACUGUAUCGCGACUGACGCUGAAGCUCGAAAGUGCGGGUAUCGAACAGGAUUAGAUACCCUGGUAGU